rnacentral:rRNA from 1 species
UACGUAGGGGGCAAGCGUUGUCCGGAAUCAUUGGGCGUAAAGAGCGUGUAGGCGGUUCGGUAAGUCGGCUGUGAAAGUCCAGGGCUCAACCCUGGAAAGCCGGUGGAUACUGUCGGGCUAGAGUCCGGAAGAGGCGAGUGGAAUUCCUGGUGUAGCGGUGGAAUGCGCAGAUAUCAGGAGGAACACCGAUAGCGAAGGCAGCUCGCUGGGACGGUACUGACGCUGAGGUGCGAAAGCGUGGGGAGCGAACAGG